UUUCCUUCAGGUGGGGGCGCCGUUUGCACCGUGUCCCCACCUGAGACCUUGUGAGCUUGAAUAUCUCCCUCUGCCACCUUUGUUUUUUUUCCUGGCUGCUUUGAGCGAGGCAGGCUCAUCCAGUCAAGUCAUUCAGAUCUGUGAUAUCGGGGAGUGAGGGAAGGCACAAGGGAGUGUGAACAGCUUUUUUCCCCUUCUUUUUUUGAACGGAUAACUUGCCCGUUUAGUGCA